UACGUAGGGGGCGAGCGUUUGUCCGGAAUCAUUGGGCGUAAAGAGCUCGUAGGCGGUUCAGUAAGUCAGGUGUGAAAGCUCCGAGCUCAACUCGGAGAGGCCACCUGAUACUGCUGUGACUAGAAUCCAGUAGGGGAGUGUGGAACUCCUGGUGUAGCGGUGAAAUGCGCAGAUAUCAGGAAGAACACCAGCGGCGAAGGCGGCACUCUGGGCUGGAAUUGACGCUGAGGAGCGAAAGUGUGGGUAGCAAACAGG
rnacentral:rRNA from 1 species